rnacentral:rRNA from 1 species
UCCACGCAGUAAACGCUGUUCACUCGUUGUUGGCAAUACACCGUCAGCGGCUAAGGGAAACCGAUAAGUGAACCACCUGGGGAGUACGGUCGCAAGAUUGAAACUCAAAGGAAUUGACGGGGGCCCGCACAAGCGGUGGAACAUGUGGUUUAAUUCGAUGAUACGCGAGGAACCUUACCUGGGCUUAAAUGUUGAUUGCAUAUAAUGGAAACAUUAUUUUCCUUCGGGACUAU